rnacentral:lncRNA from 1 species
AGUAGAAGGAUAACAUGACAUAGCAGGAAUAAUACUGCCUUUUCUUUCUGGCAUGGAUCAAGAGAAAAGAAAAUACAAGAAAACAGACAGAAGCAAGGCAAGGUACUUCUAUGGAAGGGUGAGCCCUCACAGAUGGAGCAAUGGGGCGCGCACACCUGAACAAGGGAGGGGAAGGAGUUCUUAUCCCUGAUGCAUGUGACCCCUGCUGCUGUGUCCUUCCCCUAUUGGCUAAGGUUAGACCACACAGCCUAAACUAAUUCCGAUUGGCUAAUUCAAAGAGAGCGACGGGGGCUUCUGACAGCUUUGGAGAUUGUGACAUUGGAAUAAAGGAAAAACGUACAGGACUCAUGAAGCGCUGAAAUGUUCACAAAUAUCAAGCAAAAGUCAAUGAAAUUUAUUUUGAGCUAUUUACAUCAUUUAAUAAUUGAGCAAGGUAUACUCCUAUGAACAAAAUUUGGAGCAUGUUUGUCUCUCUCUGCCUGGCGUCUUCAGAAUUUGGAAACUAGUUAUGGUUUAUAAUCAGCUAUAGAAUUUUAACACGUGCUCUCAAAUGCAAGUUUCUGAUAACUUUGGAGAUUGUGACAUUGGAAUAAAGGAAGAGCUGGAAUGUUCAUGAAUAUCAAGCAAAAGUCAUGGAAAUUUAUUUUGAGCUAUUUACAGCAUUUAAUAAUUGAGCAAGGUAUACUCCUAUGAACAAAAUUUGGAGCAUGUUUGUCUCUCUCUGUCUGCCUGGCAUCUACAGAAUUUGGAAACUAGUUGUGCUGUACUGCAUGAGAAUGCCUGCAUUUAGUAUGCGAACUGGAAUUGGCAAAGGACGAUGGCUGCUCUCCCGCUAACUUUAAAUAAGUCAUGUCACAAAUUGCAUUCGUUCCCAGAUUUCCUAAACUUUCCAGAGAAAAUGGUCUUCUCCCUGGCUCAGCAAGAAGAUGAACUUUAAACACUGAGAAACUGGUCAUCUCCCUGGCUCAACCAGAAGAUGAACUUUAAACACUACUCUCAAUGACUUGAUGUUCCCAUCACUACUCCUGUCAUAAAGGGAGGGGACUCAGAUAUUGAGAAUUUUAUGAUAGUGUGAACUGUCUGGUAUGUCAUUUAAGUAAGCCCGUUGCUGAAAUAUUUUCCAUGUUAUUAGAAAGAGCUGAAGAGAGGGAUUGAGAUGGCUUCUUUAUUUUUUGUCUUUUGGGAAUUAAAGGAACCUGGUUCAACAAGGGCCUACACCUAAGUCUCUUGUUGUACCAGAGUACAAUUUAGGACUGCUCCUGAGGAAGGAAUUAGCUAGAAAUCUAGAGAGUAAGGGUAACAGAUUUACAUAGAAUAACAGCCUCAGUAUUUUUGGUUCCUCUCCAGUAAAGAUCACAAAGAAUAUUGCUAAAUCGCUAAAACACCUUUGCAAUAACGUAAGGGCUUACAACUAUAUACCAAUGUAGCUCAGUUACUAAACUGGAGUAAACUAAUUUCUCUUGUGUAGAAAAAUUGGUUGGCUGUGGUUUUAUAGCAGAUCUGCAAUUAUUAAUAGUUAUGCCAAUAAUCGUUUAACAGUGCAUAUGUUAAUAUAUAUGGAAAGACAAUGUGUAUAGACAGAUGUGUAAAAUUGAAAAAUAAACAUAUAACAAGAGAGAAACAUCUAUCGAACAGACAAUAUACAUACACAUCAAACACAACAGCAGUUUUAGUGACCAUAAUAUUUAUUUCUCAUUUUUACAUUGCUUACUUUAGUGACAACUGAAAAUGACAGUUGGCAAUGCAGCUAACAGUUUCAAUAAAAGUAUAAAACAAAA